GACAGAGGGCGCGAGCGUUGUUCGGAAUCACUGGGCGUAAAGCGCGCGCAGGCGGACCAGGCAAGUCUGGCGUGAAAUCUCGCCGCUCAACGGCGAGGCUGCUUUGGAAACUGCGGGUCUGGAGACCGGUAGAGGCUGGUAGAAUUGCAGGUGUAGCGGUGGAAUGCGUAGAGAUCUGCAAGAAUACCCGUGGCGAAGGCGGCCAGCUGGGCCGGUUCUGACGCUGAGGUGCGAAAGCGUGGGGAGCAAACAGG
rnacentral:rRNA from 1 species